rnacentral:rRNA from 1 species
CCUGGCUCAGGAUGAACGCUAGCGGCAGGCCUAACACAUGCAAGUCGAACGGUAACAGGGAUUAGCUUGCUAAUCCGCUGACGAGUGGCGCACGGGUGCGUAACGCGUAUACAAUCUGCCUUUAAGCGGGGAAUAGCCCAUGGAAACGUGGAUUAAUACCCCAUAGUAUAUAGACUUCACCUGGAGACUAUAUUAAACAUUUAUGGCUUAAAGAUGAGUAUGCGUCCUAUUAGUUAGUUGGUAAGGUAACGGCUUACCAAGACCGCGAUAGGUAGGGGUCCUGAGAGGGAGAUCCCCCACACUGGUACUGAGACACGGACCAGACUCCUACGGGAGGCAGCAGUGAGGAAUAUUGGACAAUGGAGGCAACUCUGAUCCAGCCAUGCCGCGUGCAGGAAGACGGCCCUAUGGGUUGUAAACUGCUUUUAUACGGGAAGAACCACUCCGACGUGUCGGAGCUUGACGGUACCGUAUGAAUAAGGACCGGCUAACUCCGUGCCAGCAGCCGCGGUAAUACGGAGGGUCCAAGCGUUAUCCGGAAUCAUUGGGUUUAAAGGGUCCGUAGGCGGAAUAAUAAGUCAGUGGUGAAAGUCUGCAGCUUAACUGUAGAAUUGCCAUUGAUACUGUUGUUCUUGAAUUAUUAUGAAGUGGUUGGAAUGAGUAGUGUAGCGGUGAAAUGCAUAGAUAUUACUCAGAACACCUAUUGCGAAGGCAGAUCACUAAUAAUAUAUUGACGCUGAGGGACGAAAGCGUAGGUAGCGAACAGGAUUAGAUACCCUGGUAGUCUACGCCGUAAACGA